AGGGCCAACUGCACUCUCACAAUGUCCUUGGUCACACCCCUCCUCCUCCCGGGGCCAGGGCAGCUUCUCAAGGCCUCUCACCACGAGGCACAGAGCUGCAGGCUUUCCCUACACCAGGGGUGGUCCCGGGCCGCAGCUCCAGCCUCUCCUGGGAGCUGCUGAGAACUCAGUCUGGGAAUCACCCCAGGCUGCUGAAUCACAGUCCAGGUUGCUGGGUCUGCGCGUGGAUGUUUGGGAAACAGGUCUAGAGGCUGCCUGGGAGGAGCAAAGAAUGCCAGACUCCCUGGGCAGCAGGUUCAAGGAGGGAGGCUGAACAGCCAAAGCUGAAGGGCACUGACUAGCGCCACAGGCUGGACCAAGCAGGAGCCUCUAUUUUCUUUCAAAAUAGUGUUUUAGUUUAAUUUCUUCUCUCUUUAUUUUUGUAUUAGGGAUUGACACCCGGGGCUUUGACACUGAGUCUCAUCCCCAGUCCUUUUUAUUUUUUAUUUUGAGAUAGGCUUUCACUAAGUUGUUUAGGGCCUCACUAAGUUGCUGAGGUUGGCCUCAAACUUUCGAUCCUUCUGUCUCAGCCUCCUGAGUCUCUGAGAUUAUAGGCAUGUGCCACCAUGAGUGAUUUCUUUUUCUUUUCUC
rnacentral:lncRNA from 1 species